CAGACUGCUGCCAUGCCGGCUGGCUAGGUCACUCUGGCUCACUCAGGUCCACACUACCACCACCCAACAGCUAUGGUUUGUUCGAGGAGACUGACCACACAUCCAGGUUGAAAAUGUUCUCUUUACCAUUUGGUGAACAGUUCUGACCUUGAGUUCCUGCCCUGAAUUCACUGCAUUAUGGACUAUGAGCCAUAAGGUUUGCUUUAAAGGACUAUAGGAGGAGUGGCGGAGAUGACUCCAUCCAUUGGUAAAGUGCUUGCAUAACAAAGCUGAAGACCUGAGCUUGAUCCCCAGGACUCCUGUAAAAGCUGGAUUUGGUGAUGGGCAUGUGUAACUGUGUUGGGGACAAGGGAAGAGAUGGGAGGAACCCUGGAAGCUCACUUGUCAAUCAGCCUAGCUGAUCAAGUACUCUCCACAUUCAAUGAGAUACUAUGUCUCAGAAUUAAGGUAGAGUAAUGGCUGAAAAUACCAAACAUUGACCUCUGGCCUCCACAUUUACAUGAAUGUGUGUGCAUGCUCUCUCUCUCUUUCUCUCUCUCUCUCUCUCUCACGCACACACACACACACACACACACACACACACACACACACACACACACACACGCCCAUGGCUCUAAGGAACCUGCUUGCUAAGUUGCUGUAUAAAAGAAUCUGCCAAUAAUAAUGGGCAGUAGAAGACAAAGUUCUUCCUAUACCAAGACAUCUCCUGCAAAGACAAAUCAAAGCAUGAGGACCUGAGAAGCAGAAAGAGGCGGGUCCUGAUAAUUGCUGUGAUUUGAAAGGCGAGGUUUGACCAAGUUUCUCUGGGUAAAGUUAAGAGCUCUGCCAGCAGCUGUAGUGAGCAAUGUGUCCCAUGCAGUUAUUGUGUGGGACCAUUAUUACUGGUCCAAUUAUUACUGGUUGACCAUCAGAGAGAGAUGUUCUAGGGUUAGGGAAUGGAGAUAUUUCCCCAAAGAAGCCUGUGGUAGUUAAACCCACUAACCAUAUGGUGGGUAGGAGACAGGCAGAUAACUUUAAUUUGGAUCUUGACAUCAAUUAAUUUUUCAUCUCCAUUCACCUUACCCCACACAGGCUGUGUUUUCCCAAGGAGAUGGUGAACGAAUUUGCUCAGGUUGGCUUUCCGAGUUCAUUUUGUUUGUUUGUUUUUGUUUUGUUCUAAUCUAUAAGCAGGGAAUGCUAAAAAAGACUUCAAAGAAAAAUCUAAAUUCUACUGAAAAAGUAAAAUAGAAUUUUGUAACAUUUAAGAAUCUGAUGCAUACCCUGAGUCUGGAAACACCUUACUCUUCCUUCCCCCUCCGCCACCAGCCUGACCCCUACUGAGGGAGGAGCUCCCUGAGUCUGGAAACACCUAUUCUUCCUUCCCCCUCCUCUGCCGGCCUGACCCCUACCAAGCCACGGGCCCAAACCCUACCAAGUGAGCAGACUACCAGGAGAGGCAAGACCAUUCAGAGCUACAGACAUUGAAGUCCUGGCCCACACACAACCCCGGAUGACAAGAGGAGGUAGAGAGACCCCACCUGUACCCACUGGAAGAAGAAAUGGAAAGAAGACAGAAUAAGAACACACUCAACAACAGAAAGACCAAUAUGACACCACCA